CCUGCCCCAGAAGCAAUGCACGUGUGGCUGCUGUGUCACGUGUUCAUCAGGUGGUGGGGAGGAGAGAGGCUACGUCUGAGCCCAGUAUUCCGGCCUGGGAAUGUCUGAAUGAUUAGCAGCCUAGCACU